rnacentral:tRNA from 1 species
CCUUCGAUAGCUCAGUUGGUAGAGCGGUGGACUGUAGUACGACAUUUGCAGUUGCAGUUGUUGGGGUCGAUGAUCAUUAAUCGAUCACCGAUCAGUCUUCCUCUAGCAGCAACUUCAAAGCAAAUAGCUAUCCAUAGGUCACUGGUUCAAAUCCGGUUCGAAGGA